AGAGUUUGAUCCUGGCUCAGAUUGAACGCUGGCGGCAUGCCUAACACAUGCAAGUCGAACGGUAGCAGGCCUUCGGGUGCUGACGAGUGGCGGACGGGUGAGUAAUGCGUAGGAAUCUGUCUUUUAGUGGGGGACAACCCAGGGAAACUUGGGCUAAUACCGCAUGAGCCCUGAGGGGGAAAGCGGGGGAUCUUCGGACCCCGCGCUAAGGGAAGAGCCUACGUCUGAUUAGCUAGUUGGUAGGGUAAAGGCCUACCAAGGCGACGAUCAGUAGCUGGUCUGAGAGGACGACCAGCCACACUGGGACUGAGAUACGGCCCAGACUCCUACGGGAGGCAGCAGUGGGGAAUUUUUCGCAAUGGGGGCAACCCUGACGAAGCAAUGCCGCGUGGAUGAAGAAGGCCUUCGGGUUGUAAAGUCCUUUCGUGGGGGACGAAAAGGUGGUUCCUAAUACGAGCUGCUGUUGACGUGAACCCAAGAAGAAGCACCGGCUAACUCCGUGCCAGCAGCCGCGGUAAUACGGGGGGUGCAAGCGUUAAUCGGAAUCACUGGGCGUAAAGGGUGCGUAGGCGGUACGUUUAGGUCUGUCGUGAAAUCCCCCGGGCUCAACCUGGGAAUGGCGGUAGAAACCGGGCGCACUAGAGUAUGGGAGAGGGUGGUGGAAUUCCAGGUGUAGCGGUGAAAUGCGUAGAGAUCUGGAGGAACAUCAGUGGCGAAGGCGGCCACCUGGCCCAAUACUGACGCUGAGGCACGAAAGCGUGGGGAGCAAACAGGAUUAGAUACCCUGGUAGUCCACGCCCUAAACGAUGAAUACUAGAUGUUUGGUACCUAGCGUACUGAGUGUCGUAGCUAACGCGAUAAGUAUUCCGCCUGGGAAGUACGGCCGCAAGGUUAAAACUCAAAGGAAUUGACGGGGGCCCGCACAAGCGGUG
rnacentral:rRNA from 1 species